UUAAUUUAAAAUUUUUGUCCAUGUUAAAUCUAUGCUAGAAUUUUUGUGUCAUUAAAAAAAUGACAUGGCACAAAUCUGUAUCCAAGAGUAUUGUAAAAUUAAAUUGACUGCAGUUUCUUUCUCCAUGUUUGCAUGAUAGAGUCAAUGUAUAAUUAUUGAUAUUUGCAAAAUUGCAUCUCUCUCUCUCUUUUUUUUUUUUUUAAAUUACAGAGUAGCCCAGCUCAUCUGCACUAUGAUGAGGACCAUGGGUUCUGAAGUCAGACAGAGCUGGGAUACUUUAUAGCAUGUGUAUGGCUUUGGGCAAGUUCCUUACACUCCGUAAAAUGAGGUGUGGAGCUGCUGCUGCUGGAGCCUGAAGUGGUUCUUUUUCCUGGGGCUUCUCAUACCUGGAGACCCUGGUGAUCCUCGUUAGUGGCUGACAGCACCUGUGAGUAAUAUUGUUCCUGCAUCAGGACUUAAAGAUUGUUGGUUGGCUGUGGAUAAAGGAUUUGACAAAAAUGAACAAAAGCAUUGUAUGGGAAUCAAUUGGCUGCUUCGAAUUGACAAGAGCCGGGUGUGGAACAUUCACCAGCACACCUCUGCUUACAGGGACGUGUAUAGAGACACUAAGUUUCUAUAGUUUGAGGAGUCUGGACACGGCUUCACUGGAUCCUCUGCCCAGUGUCUUAUAGGACUGCAAUCAACAUGCCACCUGGGCUGAAGUCUCAUUUGAAGAAUUAACUGGAGAAUCAUAUUCUUGCAAGCUCAUUCAGAUUUCCAGGUGAACUCAUUCUCCAAGACACCGUUACAUCAGAAGAAAAGAUCCAAUGAAACUCUCGGAAUCAUUUAAAACAGAUGCGGCCUUCAUCUGCGGUUGCCAGCAACCCUCCCCCAGGGCGGUGGACAGACUUCAGCUUUCCUGGAUCUCUGGGCUGCCGGGGUGAUAUGCCACCAGUGUGGCCCAGCAGGAGCUAAUUUUGGGUUGCUUCAGAGGGCCCCUGGAAAACUUCAGAGAGAGAUACUGAACAAAUUAGGUUCAUUUGGUAUGUCAAAUUUCAUGAAAGGGCACCUACACUGAACUGGUCUACAGAGAGGACUGUUGAUCUCGAAUUCACCUUCAAACAAUGCUCAAACAGAGGAGAAACUACACUCAGACCAGGAUGAGAAAACGACAACAUCAGAAGUAGACAGCUAACUGAAGAUGCUGGACCUGACCGGCUGCAAGACUCUUCACUUGAGGCUUUCAACUCUAUUGUCCUCUUGUCAAACAACUAAACUAUACCUCUGCUUGAUGGGGAUUAAACAGCUGGUGCUCAGGAUACUGCACUUAAAGAGAGAGGGAAGAGGCAACCCAAGGAAGCGGUUUACAUGUGCCCUCUUGUGGUGGACCUGAUCGCCCUGUUUGACGUUCUGACUUCAGGUUGGGGAGCUGCCAAAGCCCCCACUGUGUAACAGGGGGCUUUAGGAUCAGUUUAGGUCUGCACUGCGGACACCGUCCGGACCAUGCUUGUUGGACACGUGGGGCUUCACAUCGGUGCUCCCAAGCCUUGGUGCCGCGUGGAUUUAUGCAUGUGACAGUGGAAAUAAAUUAAAACGCCGAGAGACGGAACCUAAGAAGAAUGGCCUACAGGAACCUGAGGUUGAUUGGAGACAAGAUGGCAGAGUAAAAGGACCUUUCAUGAGCAUGCUGGUCACAACUAACUGCUGAACAGCCAUUGAUAAAAGACAGGAAUCUACCAGAAAAGGAUAUUCUGCAUCCAAAGACAUAAGAAGAAACCACGAGAUAGCGGUAGGAGGGGCACGCUCAUGAUAUAAUCAAAUCCCUUACCACCUGGGUGGGAGACCCACAAACUGGAGAAUAAUUACAUUGCAAAAGUCCUCCCACAACCUAGAAGAAAUAGGCAUAUUCUUAGAAAGGUACAGUCUCCCACGACUGAACCAGGAAGAAGUAAAAAAAAAAAAAAAGAACAGCCCAAUGACAAGUACUAAAAUUGAAUCUGUGAUUUAAAAACUCCCAACAAACAAAAGUCCAGGACCAGAUGGUUUCAUAGGCGAAUUCUACCAAACAUUUAGAAAAGAGUUAAUUAACAUCUAUCUUGAAACUAUUUCAGACGAAGGAAAACUUCCAAACUCAUUCUAUGAGGCCACCAUCACCCUGGAUUGAAAGACUCAAUAUUAUCCAAAUGGACUAUAUUCUCUAAGGCCGUCUACAGACAAAGUGCAGUUCCUAUCAAACUUUGGUUUCCCACCUGGGCUCCUACCAUGACCCAGUCUUCUCUUUACUUCUCCUCUUCCCCACCUCUGGUCUCCAUGAAGCAGCCACAGCACUGUCUCUGAGACAUAAAUUUGAUCAUGCCAUUCCUUUGCUUAAAACUUUUGGUGGAUUCUCACUGCUCUUAAGACUAAGAUCAUUAACAAGGCCCACAAAAGCAUGCCUCGUCUGGCCCCGGCCAGCCUCCCCAGCUUCACCUCUAUUCAUCCCCCUUUCCUCAUCCACACUGGUCUUUGUGCAGUUACUCAAACACACAAGCUCAUUCUGUAUUCUGGGACCAUACAUCAUUGCCGGCUCCUCUGCACCCCCCAGUGAUUCACAUGGUGAGUUCUUUUUCAUUCUUUAGGACUCUUGAAUAUUACCCAAGAGAACCCCAACCCACAGUAGGUACUCUGGUCUCCUUGAGAGCUGCUUGCCCUUUUAUUUCCUCAUAGUGCUUAUCAUUUGGAAUUAAUACUUGGCUGCCCCUUUGAUUAACGUAAGUCUCAAUUAAUAGAUUGUAAGUUUCAUGAGGGUAGUGACCACACUGGUCUUGUGUAUCACAGUGGACUUAACAUCUAGCAUAGUGCUUGACACAAUAAUACCUGUUCACUGUAUAUUUGAAGAAAAACUAAAUCUACUGCACAGAUAGAAAUGGAAGACUUUCCAAGGGGAGGAUGGUGAUGAAAUGAUGGUGACGUCUGUUUGAAGUGUGAGAGGAAAGAAGGAAGUCUGCAGGAAGAGAGCAGGAGGAGGACACCAGUGACAGGAAGUCCACGGGGAAGAGUCCUCAGCUUUCCCUGGUGGCUUCUCGGAGGCUGAGUGUGGAGAGGUUCCUGAUCCAAGUCCAUCUGAUUCAACAGAUGUGCUUUCCCUCUGUAAUCUUCUCAGUUACAAUGAUAAUAAUGCCUUUGCUUAAAGGAACGCCAUCCCUAUGGAAGCAUGAAGCAGCAUGCCAGUGAAUGUUCAGAUUAGCCCACAGGUAAGACAGAACCGACACAUCUUACGCGCCCUCGAGGGAGAAGCAAACCCCUUUCCUAAGUUAGGAUCAGCUUCCUUCCCCUUGCUGUUAUCAGCUCUAGCCAGUUUGGAUCUCUCCUAGAAAACAAACCAGUGAAUACGCAUUACAUAUUACUAGUAUAUGGUGUACACACAUUACACACUCACACACACCAUUAUCUCUGGGUUAAAAGAUGUAUGACCUCUUAAAUUAUCUUGUAGGAACCUGGCAAUUUUGAAAAAAUAAAAUGCCCUCUUUCACUUCAUAUGUCCAAGCUUUAAAAAGAAAAAACCUUAUCUACUGUGCUUCGACCACUCUUUUAUUUUAUUGAAUAUCACUAGAGUGACAAUAACCAGAGAGGUGAUCUGCUAGGAAUAAACUACUUAUUGUAGUAAAUAUCUUUACUUAUUGUACUACUUAUUGUAGUAAAUAUCGUAGUAAAUAUUUUUAUUGGUUUUCCCAGGUGGCUCUUAUUGGCAGCAAAAAUUUGUAUAGAAGAGGAAAACAAGUCAAGGAGGAGUUGAUUUUUUUUCUGUGCUUGAAGGGUAAGGGAGACCCUUGGAAGGAAGGAAGGAAGCCAGGGAUGGUGGCAGGGAAAGAGGAUCUGUCUCCCGCUCUACCCCUUACCAUAAGGCCUCGAGGCUUCCAGCUUGGGCUGACUGGUCCCGCAAACCCUGAAAAAGAGUUCCUGCACUUCUCUCCUCCUCUCAGUGAGGUCUGGGGCCUGAAGCCUAAUGGCUGCCUUUUGGAUUAAGGUGUCCCAGAAAGUAAUAGCACUAUCAGCACCAUUGGAAUGACUAAUACUGACAACAGCUAACAUGGAUUGAAGUGCUUCCUAGGUACCAGGAACUGUUCUGAACUCUUAAGAUGUAUUUACUCACCUAUAAACUUGCACAUUUACAGAUGGGGAAACCAAGGCACAAAAUUUACCUUUUUCAAGACUACAUAGCAGAAGGUAAUAGAGCAGGGUUGUUGAAUGACUUUCUGAAUGGGGUGAAGUCUACAAGCUCAGCUAGAAUACUGUCACUAGACUCCUUUGCUAUCAACUCUUGAUUGGGGCUCAUCUCUUCUAGGGCAGCUCGACAGGAACUCCCAUCUAAAGCACUGUCAGAGGCAGAUCUUUUAUUAAUCCAAAUAGUCUCUGAAAUGCUGUUUGUGUUUGAAUCUUGGUCACAGAGGAACAGUUACCAGAGCUGGGGUGUUGUGUUGAUCUGUGGAAAUGCUGGGCAUAUUAUUAGCUAGAAUCAGAACAGUGAGAUUAGAUGUCUUAAGGUUGGGGAUAAUAUGCUUUAAAAAUAUCCCUCACGUUGUCACACCUUGAACCUGAAUUGAAUUGAAAAUCUCAUCUACAGUGGAAAUAGUCUCUUCAAGUGGUGUUGGAAAAGUUGGAUAGCUGCAUGUAAAUCAGUGAAGUUAGAACAUACCCUCACACCAUACACAAAAACUCAAAAUCGCUUUUAAAGACUUAUAUAUAAGACAUAAAUCGUAAAACUCCUAGAAGAGAACACAGGCAGAACAUUCUCUGACAUAAACUGCCAGUGUUUCCUUUGGUCAGUAUCCCAAGGCAAUAGAAAAGGAAACAAAUGGGACCUGAUCAAACUUAGAAGCUUAUAAAAGAUGUUCCUUAUUGCUAAUUAUAUUAGAGAAAUGCAAAUCAAAACUACAGUGAGGUACCACCUCACAGUGGUCAGAAUGGCCAUCAUAAAAACUGCAAAUAACAAAUGCUGGAGAGGAUGUGGAGAAAAGGAAACUCUCCUAGAGUGUUGUUGAGAAUGUAAGUUGGUAUAGCCACUGUGGAAAAUACAAUAGUGGUUUUCCAGAAACUGCUAAGAAAACUAAAAAUAGGAUUACUAUAUGAUCCAGCAAUCCCACAACCUGAAUGUCCAUCCAGAUGAAUGGAUAAAGAUCUGGUGCAUAUAUACAUUGGAAUACUACACACCAAAAAAUAAUGCCAUUUGCAAUAACCUAGAUGCAACUAGAGAUUAUCAUACUAAGUGGAGUAAGUCAGAAAGAGAAAGACAGAUACCAUAUGAUAUCACUUACACGUGGAAUCUAAAGUGACACAAAUGAACCGAUCUAUAAAACAGAAACACGGACAUAGAGGACAGACUGGUGGUUGCCAG